rnacentral:rRNA from 1 species
AUUGAACGCUGGCGGCGUGCUUAACACAUGCAAGUCGAGCGGAGCGGCGAACGGGUGAGUAACGCGUGAGUAACUGCCCCCCUCUCUGGGAUAACAGUUGGAAACUGCUGCUAAUACCGGAUAGUGGGGGAUGACUCGUGGCCUAUCAGCUCGUUGGUGGGGUAGUGGCCUACCAAGGCGACGACGGGUAGCCGGCCUGAGAGGGCGACCUGCCACAGUGGGCAGGGGUACGGCCCAGAGUCCUGCGGGAGGAAGCAGUGGGGAAUGUUGCACAAUGGGGGAAGCCCUGAUGCAGCAGCGCCGCGUGCGGGAUGACGGCCUUCGGGUUGUAAACCGCUUUCGGCCAUGACGCGGUAGUGGCAGAAGAAGCACCGGCUAACUACGUGCCAGCAGCCGCGGUAAAC